GAUGAACGCUAGCGGCAGGCUUAAUACAUGCAAGUCGUGGGGCAGCAGGUCGGUAGCAAUACAGAUGCUGGCGACCGGCAAACGGGUGCGGAACACGUACACAACUUUCCUUUAAGUGGGGAAUAGCCCAGAGAAAUUUGGAUUAAUACCCCGUAACAUAGUGAAAAGGCAUCUUUUUAUUAUUAUAGCAGCAAUGCGCUUAAUGAUGGGUGUGCGCCUGAUUAGGUAGUUGGCGGAGUAAUAGCCCACCAAGCCUACGAUCAGUAACUGGUGUGAGAGCACGACCAGUCACACGGGCACUGAGACACGGGCCCGACUCCUACAGGAGGCAGCAGUAAGGAAUAUUGGGCAAUGGACGCAAGUCUGACCCAGCCAUGCCGCGUGGAGGAUGAAGGUCCUCUGGAUUGUAAACUUCUUUUAUCUGGGAAGAAAUCCAUCUUUUCUUGGGUGGUUGACGGUACCAGAUGAAUAAGCACCGGCUAACUCCGUGCCAGCCGCCGCCGUAAUAC
rnacentral:rRNA from 1 species